rnacentral:tRNA from 1 species
UUGCCGACCUGGGCGGGGUUGUCGGCGGCGGUCAGGGUGCGCUCUUCGAAGCGGCCGGUCUGGAUGCUGUCGGUGCGGUUGCCGAUGUUGCCAAU